rnacentral:rRNA from 1 species
UACAGAGGGGGCAAGCGUUGUUCGGAAUUACUGGGCGUAAAGGGCGCGUAGGCGGCCUGUUAAGUCGAACGUGAAAUCCCCGGGCUCAACCCGGGAACUGCGUCCGAUACUGGCAGGCUUGAAUCCGGGAGAGGGAUGCGGAAUUCCAGGUGUAGCGGUGAAAUGCGUAGAUAUCUGGAGGAACACCGGUGGCGAAGGCGGCAUCCUGGACCGGCAUUGACGCUGAGGC